GGAGUUGGCCAGACAAUCGCCGCGGGUAACCGGGGAGGAAAGUCCGGGCUCCGCAGGACAGGGCGCCAGGUAACACCUGGGGGGCGUGAGCCUACGGAAAGUGCAGCAGAAAACAAACCGCCUGCUUUGCAGGUAAGGGUGAAAUGGUGCGGUAAGAGCGCACCGCGCUGGUGGUAACACUCAGCGGCAAGGUAAACCCCGCUCGGAGCAAGACCAAAUAGGAAGACUAGCUGAUUCAGCCCGCGUGGUCCGCGCGUAGUCUUCGGGUAGGUUGCUAAAACUGUAUGGUGACAUGCAGUGUAGAUGAAUGAUUGUCCACGACAGAACCCGGCUUAUCGGCUGACUCCUGAU
rnacentral:RNase_P_RNA from 1 species